rnacentral:rRNA from 1 species
UACAGAGGUCCCAAGCGUUUGUUCGGAUUCAUUGGGCGUAAAGGGUGCGUAGGUGGCGCCGUAAGUGGGGUGUGAAAUUUCGGAGCUUAACUCCGAAACUGCAUUCCAUACUGCGGUGCUUGAGGACUGGAGAGGAGACUGGAAUUCAUGGUGUAGCAGUGAAAUGCGUAGAGAUCAUGAGGAAGACCAGUGGCGAAGGCGGGUCUCUGGACAGUUCCUGACACUGAGGCACGAAGGCUAGGGGAGCGAACGGG